AUCAGAACUGGAGCAUUGGGCACAGGGUACAAAUAUCCACCCUCUCCUCCCCAGUUAGCCCUCACAGUUCUAUGAAAUGCCUGAAUAAGGCUUGAAUAUCCUCCCAUUUUGAUCUUUCAAAGUAGUGCUUUCAGACAGAAAUACUUCCUGAAACCCUGUUAAUUUUUAAAAGCCAAUUAAUGAUACCUCCUGCACAAUUCAUGUUGGUCUCUGAGGUUUGCUAUCAGUUUGUGCCACACCAUCAAUGGAAUCCUGUUGCUUAAUCAGAUAGGAGCAUCGCUCUACCAUCCUCUAAUGUUAAGAUUUCUGAAGGUGUGUACUCUUUCCAUCCAUUCACAUUAACUACCCAUUUAGCAUACAUGCAGAGUAGGUCUGUAGAGGCAUGAGGCUCACAGUGGACGCAGGCACUUUCCCUGUCAAGCAUUCAGUACCUUGGACAGCUCCUGUGAAACUCCCUGUAAACACCAACGGCUCCAGGAAUAUGUUGUCUGUUCCGUCACCGCAACCCACAGAAUCAAGCCAUUUGAGAGACAGACUGAGUGAGCUGUGGCAUGGAAGGAGCAGAAGAGAGGAAGGGAAGCAGACACAGAAGUUUACCCUGUCAAACUUGGAAAACUGAAAGGACCACAAGGCAUGCCUAAUGAAAAAAUCCUGCUCACUCUACACAGGUGGGGUGCUUUCAUGUCAAAAGAGCUUGCCCCUCCCAAUAUGUCUUGCUUCUGGACCAUUUUAACACAUGUAGCAUGCAGCUGUAAUAUUACCCUCUCCCCCCCCAAAAAAACACCAACCAAUGAAAGGCAAGAUUUCAAGGUCACAAAGCAGGGAAGAGAAGUGAGCUUUGAAAUUAAAUCCUACAGUAAGGGGAAUGGUUAAAGGGCUCCUUUUUAUCAUCCAUGUGUUACUUUCUGGGUUAGGGAUAGGGGAUUCAGUUUGCAUUUAAAUGCAAAUUGAUCUAAUAUGUAGACCCAAACACAGCUGCCCUUCAAAAUUCAUGCUUCUCUGCAUUUGGCAAUGCAGUUCUCCCAUGAAGUACAAAAUGUGUUAUAAAGGCAAUUGCCCUUUUUCAUAGAGUUUGUGUCAAAGCAUGCAUUGGCCAAGUGUGCAUAAGCCCAUCCUGCCCCAUUUCUCCCUCUUCCAGGUCCAAAAGGAGCCACACAUUGGCAGUUGCAUGUCAAUCGGACACACCUAAAAUGGUUGCCACUCGUAUUGCGUGACCAGGCCGACAGCCCAAACUCCCAGGGAACAU